rnacentral:tRNA from 1 species
CCGUAGCCUAGCCUGGAUAAGGCGUCGGACUUCUAAUCCGGAGACCCCGGGUUCAAAUCCCGGCGGGU